GGCACGGUGGUGCAGUAGGUAGCACUGCUGUCUCGCAGCAAGAAGCUCGUGGGUUCGAAUCCAGGCCUUUCUG